UGACAAGAAAUAACAAUACGGGGCUUAAAGUCUUGUAAUUGGAAUGAUGGGAAUUUAAACCUCUUCCAGAGUAUCAAUUGGAGGGCAAGUCUGGUGCCAGCAGCCGCGGUAAUUCCAGCUCCAAUAGCGUAUAUUAAAAUUGUUGCAGUUAAAAAGCUCGUAGUUGAAUUUCUGCUGCAUUGCUUGUGUCCCUCCGGGGUCUGUGCAUGUGGCUUUUUUCGGACGGAGUUUCUUUGUCUGAAUGUUUACUUUGAGAAAAUUAGAGUGCUCAAAGCAGGCUUUUGCCUUGAAUAGUUUAGCAUGGAAUAAUAAAGUAGGACUUUGGUUCUAUUUUGUUGGUUUUAGGUACCAAAGUAAUGGUUAAUAGGAACAGUUGGGGGCAUUCGUAUUUAACUGUCAGAGGUGAAAUUCUUAG
rnacentral:rRNA from 1 species